rnacentral:rRNA from 1 species
UACGGGGGGAGCAAGCGUUGUUCGGAUUUACUGGGCGUAAAGGGCGCGUAGGCGGUCAGCACAAGUCAGUUGUGAAAUCUCCGGGCUUAACUCGGAAAGGUCAACUGAUACUGUGCGACUAGAGUGCAGAAGGGGCAACUGGAAUUCUCGGUGUAGCGGUGAAAUGCGUAGAUAUCGAGAGGAACACCUGCGGCGAAGGCGGGUUGCUGGGCCGACACUGACGCUGAUGCGCGAAAGCUAGGGGAGCGAACGGG